rnacentral:rRNA from 1 species
UACGUAGGGUGCAAGCGUUAUCCGGAAUUAUUGGGCGUAAAGAGCCCGUAGGCGGUUUGUCGCGUCUGCUGUGAAAACUGGAGGCUCAACCUCCCAGCCUGCAGUGGGUACGGGGCAGACUAGAGUGCGGUAGGGGAGAUUGGAAUUCCUGGUGUAGCGGUGGAAUGCGCAGAUAUCAGGAGGAACACCGAUGGCGAAGGCAGAUCUCUGGGCCGUAACUGACGCUGAGGAGCGAAAGCAUGGGGAGCGAACAGG